CUGAGACGUGAUGCGUAGCCGAUUGAGGCGAAGUGGACGAUCCUAUGCUGUCGAGAAAAGCCUCUAGUGAGUGUUCAAGCGGCCCGUACCCUAAACCGACACAGGUGGUCAGGUAGAGAAUACUAAGGCGUUCGGGUGAACUGUGGUUAAGGAACUCGGCAAAAUGCCCCCGUAACUUCGGGAGAAGGGGGGCCGUGUGGCGUGAAGCGCCUUGCGCGUGGAGCGUUGUGUGGCCGCAGAGACCAGCGAGAAGCGACUGUUUACUAAAAACACAGGUCCAUGCGAAGUCGUAAGACGAUGUAUAUGGACUGACGCCUGCCCGGUGCUGGAACGUUAAGAGGACGGGUUAGCUCUUUCGGGGGCGAAGCUCAGAAUUUAAGCGCCAGUAAACGGCGGUGGUAACUAUAACCAUCCUAAGGUAGCGAAAUUCCUUGUCGGGUAAGUUCCGACCUGCACGAAUGGCGUAACGACUUCUCGGCUGUCUCAACCACAGGCCCGGUGAAAUUGCACUACGAGUAAAGAUGCUCGUUACGCGCGGCAGGACGGAAAGACCCCGGGACCUUUACUAUAGCUUGGUAUUGGUGCUCGGUUCGGCUUGUGUAGGAUAGGUGGGAGACUGUGAAGCCUUCACGCUAGUGUGGGUGGAGUCGUUGUUGAAAUACCACUCUGGUCGAAUUGGGUGUCUAACCUCGGACCAUGAUCUGGUUCAGGGACAGUGCCUGGUGGGUAGUUUAACUGGGGCGGUUGCCUCCUAAAGAGUAACGGAGGCGCUCAAAGGUUCCCUCAGCCUGGUUGGCAAUCAGGUGUUGAGUGCAAGUGCACAAGGGGGCUUGACUGUGAGACUGACGGGUCGAGCAGGGACGAAAGUCGGAACUAGUGAUCCGGCCAUGGCUUGUGGAAGCGUGGUCGCUCAACGGAUAAAAGGUACCCCGGGGAUAACAGGCUGAUCUUGCCCAAGAGUCCAUAUCGACGGCAUGGUUUGGCACCUCGAUGUCGGCUCGUCGCAUCCUGGGGCCGGAGUAGGUCCCAAGGGUUGGGCUGUUCGCCCAUUAAAGCGGUACGCGAGCUGGGUUUAGAACGUCGUGAGACAGUUCGGUCCCUAUCCGCCGCGCGCGUAGGAGAUUUGAGGAAGGCUGUCCCUAGUACGAGAGGACCGGGACGGACGAACCUCUGGUGUGCCAGUUGUUCUGCCAAGGGCAUGGCUGGUUGGCUACGUUCGGAAGGGAUAACCGCUGAAGGCAUCUAAGCGGGAAGCUCGUUCCAAGAUGAGAUCUCCCACCCUUUGUUGGGGUAAGGCUCCCAGCUAGACGACUGGGUUGAUAGGCCAGAGAUGGAAGCACGGUAACGUGUGGAGUUGACUGGUACUAAUAGGCCGAGGACUUGCUCAC
rnacentral:rRNA from 1 species